rnacentral:lncRNA from 1 species
CAUCAGGAUUAUCAGCCUGGUAACUCCUGGCCAAAGAAAUGCACACUCUUCAUUUGGCUAAAAUAAUUUCCAAUGUUCCUAAAGGAAACACAACUUGUGGAUUCUCCAAGCGGGAGAGGAGAAUCAUGUUCCAGUCUAUUGACUAACGAAGGGCUCAGGUUUCAAAGACCCUCUGUCCUUUGGCCUAUACUGGAGUCUGACUUGUCCAGCGGCACGUUGUCCUCGUGGUGAAUUCUGUUAUCAGGCUAAUUGGAUCAUUUAUACUAAAUAAAUAACUGCAUUAUUAUCAGGGAAGAAUUUGUGAAGUUCUAAAUACCUAGUGGAGAGCAUCUAUUCACUAGUGUUAGCUUUUUAAUGCUCUGAGGAAAGAUAAUUGGUAAUUGGCAACUCUGUAACUCUGUUUUUUUUUUUUUUUAAACCUACUCAAACAUUUUGAUGAAGAAAAAUUUUUUACUAGAAAAAAGGGAGGGACAAUAGCAAAAACAGAUAAACAGGCAGCUUUAUUGGUUGACCUUCUAUGUAUUAAAAGCAUGUCUCUGACUCUGCAAGUAAAUAUAAAUUUGUGGUUAUGCAUAGGAAAGCUUAACUAUUUCACACAUAAGGUCAAGUACUCAGAUGGCCAUAGUUUGCAAAAGGGUCACAUGUACAUUAGAAUUCAAAAUAUAAGUAUCUGCUAAGAUAAACUUUUAAUUAAAUGUUUGUGAUGUUUGACUUUUCCUUGCCAGAUAAAUAAAAUCCAGCCACUGACUAAUUAAGUAGAAAACUUGAGCACUGAGACAGGACACAGAAAAACAAAAAUAAUUUAUUCAGUGAUUUUGCCUUUCUUAAUGAGGCCAGGAUAUGUUACAGGGGGUGAAUUUGCUUCAGACUAAAGUGUUUGAAGAGUAUGAACCACCAAAAACACAGAGUCAACCCAUGUAAGAAUCCACAAAUGCACACACACACAUAUUCCUCAAAAACAUCAGGCAUUAAAUGUCUAGGGUUUUAAAAAUAUAUAUCAGUUCUUAAAAUGACUCCACAGAAAUGACAAAUCUGAAAUUCUAACUAGUGGCUAAGGCCUCUAUUUUAUGACUCAGACUUUCUGUUCUUGUCAGAGGAAUGGAAAGGAGAGCAGUACCUCUUAGUUUAGUUUCUCCUCAAAUCUACUUAUCAGCUAAGAUUACAGUGAAGGUCACAAUUAUAAAAUGGUUGAAUUCUCUCUAUUUUAGGCAGUGGAAGAUACACUUUGAUUGUUUUAUUUAAUUUCCUUACAAGGGACAAGCCAUUAAUGCAUUUCUUAUUUUUUUAGAACUUAGUUUUCAAAUCUACCUGGAUCAUUCAGUGUCCUUUCUUGCUUUGGGGGUAAUUUUGGAAAAUCCAUUGCAAGCAGAUCAUGAAGACGAUAAAGAAAAUGCAGCUAGUUUGUUCCAAGUCCUUCAGUUCACUGCAUUUUAUUGUGUUAUAAAUUUCAUAUUUUCAACUUGGACUCUCCUCUAGCUCCUCUGUCCCACCUCCCUCCCAC